CCUCCACAAGGGUUGGGCCACCGGCUUCGGGUGUUACCGACUUUCGUGACUUGACGGGCGGUGUGUACAAGGCCCGGGAACGUAUUCACCGCAGCGUUGCUGAUCUGCGAUUACUAGCGACUCCGACUUCAUGAGGUCGAGUUGCAGACCUCAAUCCGAACUGAGACCGGCUUUUUGGGAUUAGCUCCACCUCACAGUAUCGCAACCCUUUGUACCGGCCAUUGUAGCAUGCGUGAAGCCCAAGACAUAAGGGGCAUGAUGAUUUGACGUCAUCCCCACCUUCCUCCGAGUUGACCCCGGCAGUCUCCCAUGAGUCCCCACCAUCACGUGCUGGCAACAUGGAACGAGGGUUGCGCUCGUUGCGGGACUUAACCCAACAUCUCACGACACGAGCUGACGACAACCAUGCACCACCUGUAUACCGACCCCAAAGGGGAAGAACCAUCUCUGGAACGAUCCGGUAUAUGUCAAGCCUUGGUAAGGUUCUUCGCGUUGCAUCGAAUUAAUCCGCAUGCUCCGCCGCUUGUGCGGGCCCCCGUCAAUUCCUUUGAGUUUUAGCCUUGCGGCCGUACUCCCCAGGCGGGGCACUUAAUGCGUUAGCUACGGCGCGGAAAACGUGGAAUGUCCCCCACACCUAGUGCCCAACGUUUACGGCAUGGACUACCAGGGUAUCUAAUCCUGUUCGCUCCCCAUGCUUUCGCUCCUCAGCGUCAGUAACAGCCCAGAGACCUGCCUUCGCCAUCGGUGUUCCUCCUGAUAUCUGCGCAUUCCACCGCUACACCAGGAAUUCCAGUCUCCCCUACUGCACUCUAGUCUGCCCGUACCCACUGCACACCCGGGGUUAAGCCCCGGGCUUUCACAGCAGACGCGACAAACCGCCUACGAGCUCUUUACGCCCAAUAAUUCCGGACAACGCUUGCGCCCUACGUAUUACCGCGGCUGCUGGCACGUAGUUAGCCGGCGCUUCUUCUGCAGGUACCGUCACUUGUGGCUUCUUCCCUGCUGAAAGAGGUUUACAACCCGAAGGCCGUCAUCCCUCACGCGGCGUCGCUGCAUCAGGCUUUCGCCCAUUGUGCAAUAUUCCCCACUGCUGCCUCCCGU
rnacentral:rRNA from 1 species